UUCCUACGGGGGGCAGCAGUUGGGAAUAUUGGACAAUGGAGGAAACUCUGAUCCAGUGACGCCGCGUGAAGGAAGAAGGUCUUCGGAUUGUAAACUUAUUUUGUCAGGGAAGAAAAAAAUGACUGUGCCUGAAGAAAAAGCACCGGCUAACUACGAGCCAGCAGCCGCGGUAAUACGUAGGGUGCAAGCGUUAUCCGGAUUUAAUGGGUGUAAAGGGCGAGUAGACGGCGUUGCGAGUCAGAUGUGAAAACCUAGGGCUCAACCGUAGGACUGCAUCUGAAGCUGGACUGCUAGAGUGCAGGAGG
rnacentral:rRNA from 1 species